rnacentral:rRNA from 1 species
UACGAAGGGGGCUAGCGUUGCUCGGAAUGACUGGGCGUAAAGGGCGCGUAGGCGGACGGCUUUGUCGGGCGUGAAAUUCCAGGGCUUAACCUUGGGGGCUGCGUUCGAGACGGGUUGUCUAGAGUUUGGAAGAGGGUCGUGGAAUUCCCAGUGUAGAGGUGAAAUUCGUAGAUAUUGGGGAAGAACACCGGGUGGCGAAGGCGGCGACCUGGUCCUUGACUGACGCUGAGGCGCGAAAAGCGUGGGGGAGCAAACAGG